UUUUUUCUUUUUUAAGCGUUUUUUUCACUAUGAUGCCCCCAGGCUUGGCACUUGGUCCUGCCAUCUGCAUCAGCUCCAGAGACAGGCCCUGCAGGAAGGCUGGAAACAGGGAGGGCCCGGGCACAUCUUCACAGCCGCCCUCCCCAGCUCCCGGAAGCCUCGGUGGCCAGCCACCUGCAGCACGUCCCGUCACAGGCUAGGGCAGAGCCAGGCCUGGCAGGCGCUCUCCCUGGGCACCAAGAAGCUCUCAACCUCCACCUGGGAGAGACAGCUGGGAGAUCAGACCCCAUCUUCUCCUAACCUGCUCCCAACCCCAGCCAGCUCAGCCUGCAAUCCCCAACAGACAGAGUCCCAGGGUGUCCCGGUGGCAUGGGGUCAAGGCCAGUGGGGGCUGGCCCCAAGGUCACAUUGUCCAGAGGGAAACAGAGAAUCUCCCAGCAGUAAUGGAGUGACACAUAGGUCCAAAGAGGGGUUCCCAAUUUAGAAAACUCAGCAGGGACUUCCCAGGACAGGCAACCUGUCACACUGGCCAGAAUCCAGGGAGAUGACUGAGGGGCCAAGGGGGGUAGCGAGGACUGGGCUGAGGUGGGAAGGAACCCAGGGCCCUGGCUGGAGCAGAGCCAGGGGGAGAGGAAGAGAGAGGAGGGCUGGAGGCAGCAGGGGCGGGUCACGCAGGGUUCUGCAGAUGGGUUUUAUCUCCAGAGCAGAGAACCUUAGGAGGGUUACGCAAGCUGCAGAGGGGCAAGGUCCCACUCCAAAGUGGAGAUGCAUCUGGCCGUGGAGCGCGGGUGAGGGCAGAAGCCACAGCCAAGGGAGAGGCCACUGUGCCAGUCCAGGAGAGUGAUGUGGCGGGCGGCCAGGCUGGGCGCAGCGAGGUGGGAGAGGGGCUGGCAUGGAGAGCAUCAUGCAUUAGAGAGUCCGAAAGGCAGGCAAGCGAUGGUGAGAAUCAAGAGGCCCGCUCCUCCUCUCUGACCCUGGGCAGAGCUAGUCGGGGAGGGAAGGAGAGGGUGACAACAUCCACUUCCUGCACAGGACCCUUUCAGGGGCACAGCCAUCCCGUGUCCCUGGCCAGGAAACUGCUGCUCUGAGGGAGGAGUCACCCAAGGCCACGUGGCAAGGAAGGGAGUGAGCCAGGAUCCAAACCCAGGACCAAGUGCUUGGGCCAUGGGGAGCCAGGGCACCAGGGCACAGGGCUGGCAGCGUGGAGUCGAGGCUGCUCCAGCCCAGGCUGCCCGCGAGCGGCCAGGGCAUGUGGGCCACAGUGUGGACUGAGCCCCACGCCUCCCCGGCAGAGCCGCCCCCGUCAGGGCUUCCCGGGGCCGGGCGUCUCCCAGCUCAGCCCCGCAGCAGCAGGUCUCACUCGCUGUGUCACGCUCCCCUGUGCUCACACCCACCACUCACUCGCUCAAGGCCGCAGUCGCACUUGCUCACUCUGCUGCACUCACAUUCACACUCAUUCACACUCGUGCACACCCGGUUCACACUCACCGGCUCGGGGCCACCCACACACAUUCCAGCUCAGGCCCAGGCCCACUGGCCGGCUCCGUGGGCCCUCCCCGCACAGCAUCCCACCAGCUCCUUCAUGCUCACUGUCCCCCAGCAAGCUCCCACGCUCCCCCUCACCCUCCCAGGCAGGCUGGGGGAACCCGGGCACCCCCCAUUCCUCUGAAGCCACCAGCUCAGUCCACCCACAGCUGGAAGAAGGGCCGGGCCUCCAUCCUCGCGCCCCUGGGGCUGGCCAGGCUAGUCUCCCGGCAAAGCAGAUGCACGGGGAGAGCAAGGACCAGUUCCAAGGCUCCCCUCUGCCAAGCCCACCAUGACCACGCAUGGCCCA
rnacentral:lncRNA from 1 species